AGCAGCCGCGGUAAUUCCAGCUCCAAUAGCGUAUAUUAAAGUUGUUGCAGUUAAAAAGCUUGUAGUUAAAUUUCGGGGUUAGUAGGUUGGUCAUGCCUCUGGUAUGUACUGGUCUCACUGAUUCCUCCUUCCUGAUGAACCGUAAUGCCAUUAAUUUGGUGUUACGGGGAAUUUGGACUGUUACUUUGAAAAAAUUAGAGUGUUUAAAGCAGGCUAACGCUUGAAUACAUUAGCAUGGAAUAAUGAAAUAGGACGUUCGAUCCUAUUUUGUUGGUUUCUAGGAUUGACGUAAUGAUUAAUAGGGAUAGUUGGGGGCAUUAGUAUUCAAUUGUCAGAGGUGAAAUUCUUGGAUUUAUUGAAGACUAACUACUGCGAAAGCAUUUGCCAAGGAUGUUUUCAUUAAUCAAGAACGAAAGUUAGGGGAUCGAAGACGAUCAGAUACCGUCGUAGUCUUAACCAUAAACUAUGCCGACUAGGGAUCGGAUGAUGUUAAUUUUUUAAUGACUCA
rnacentral:rRNA from 1 species